AAACCGUGAUGUGGACAGAGUCUCAUCAUAUCCUUAUAUCUCUCCCAAGCCUCCAAAAGUGACCCGCCUUCUUUGUGUCUAAAACUAUUUACUUGGCUUUUUAGCAU